rnacentral:rRNA from 1 species
UACGAAGGGGGGCUAGCGUUGCUCGGAAUCACUGGGCGUAAAGCGCACGUAGGCGGCUUUCUAAGUCAGGGGUGAAAUCCUGGAGCUCAACUCCAGAACUGCCUUUGAUACUGGAGAGCUUGAGUCCGGAAGAGGUGAGUGGAACUCCGAGUGUAGAGGUGAAAUUCGUAGAUAUUCGCAAGAACACCAGUGGCGAAGGCGGCUCACUGGCCCGAUACUGACGCUGAGGCACGAAAGCGUGGGGAGCAAACAGGG